GAACAUGAUAUUUUCAAGCCAAGAAAAUAACGAACAAUGCCAAGAUCAUGAAGCUUAAAGGAGCAUUGCAGAGCCGCUUUAAGUAUAUCCAUGGCUUUGUCGCAGCUACUAGCAAUAAAUAUGUCUCCAACAUAAACCAACACUGCCAUAUAUGCAUUAGCAGACUUCUUAGUGAACAGAAUAUGAUCACCAGACAAAGUUUUGAAGCCCAACUUCUUAGAUAACAAAAAACUUUAAAAAAUUAGAAAACUCUGAAACUCUCUCGCAAAACACCUCUGCUUAAGCAAAUCUGAUUUCUCUCUGGCGUCCGGCGGCGCGUCCGCGCGCGUGCCGCGCCGGAGGAGCCUCUUCCCCCUUAUCUUGUUUUCCUUUGCUGUUUCUCAGCCUCUCUCUUCCCCUUUCGAUAUGCUCGUGGCUCUGGGUUGGCGUGUCUCUCCGGUGAGCGCUUCGUGCGCAAGGAGCGUUCCUUUCCGGCAAGAACACUUUUCUUCUGGUGCUGUGGCGAGGAGGUCGCAAGGUCUGGCUGAGGAGUGGUCGGUUUUUAGGGUUUAUGGCGAGGUCAAUUUUUCUGGAUCUGGUUUCUAGAUCUCGCCGGAUCUCUUCGUCGUUGGGGGAUCUUGAAGGACUGCUCCAUCUACUAGACGGCGGCGGUGUCGUACGCUAAACUAUGGUGUCUUUCGGUAGCGACGGUUGGUCAAUUGGUUCUCUCCGGUGUCGGUGAGGUUCAACCCUCCCAUUUGUUAUCAAGUGAGUUUCGGUGGUGUUGUCACCGGAAGCGCGUCUGGAGUCUCGAUACGCAGACGGAGAUGGAACGCCGGUGACGAUUACAAGGCUCGAGGAGUUCAUCGGGAACUAGCUACUCCGGAAAUGACACGGGAGUUCCCGGCAACCGAGGCAACGAGGUGAACCUCACGGUCCCGUGGUUAUCGUCGAUGGUUGAGAACGGCAACCGAUUCUUUAGGAUUUUAAAAACGAUCUAGCCGAAUGUUCCGGGUCAAAAUCUGAUUUCUCUCUGGCGUCCGGCGGCGCGUCCGCGCGCGUGCCGCGCCGGAGGAGCCUCUUCCCCCUUAUCUUGUUUUCCUUUGCUGUUUCUCAGCCUCUCUCUUCCCCUUUCGAUAUGCUCGUGGCUCUGGGUUGGCGUGUCUCUCCGGUGAGCGCUUCGUGCGCAAGGAGCGUUCCUUUCCGGCAAGAACACUUUUCUUCUGGUGCUGUGGCGAGGAGGUCGCAAGGUCUGGCUGAGGAGUGGUCGGUUUUUAGGGUUUAUGGCGAGGUCAAUUUUUCUGGAUCUGGUUUCUAGAUCUCGCCGGAUCUCUUCGUCGUUGGGGGAUCUUGAAGGACUGCUCCAUCUACUAGACGGCGGCGGUGUCGUACGCUAAACUAUGGUGUCUUUCGGUAGCGACGGUUGGUCAAUUGGUUCUCUCCGGUGUCGGUGAGGUUCAACCCUCCCAUUUGUUAUCAAGUGAGUUUCGGUGGUGUUGUCACCGGAAGCGCGUCUGGAGUCUCGAUACGCAGACGGAGAUGGUAUCAGGCUCUGUUCCGGCGCGUGUGGUAGUUGCU
rnacentral:lncRNA from 1 species